CCNAAAAGAGACUUAAAUAACGCUCUGCGUAAUAAGAAGAUCCUGAAGGGAAGUGGGCAGGGGCGUCCUAGGCUAUGUUUUGCCCAAAUCCUAGUUUUUUUUGUAAUUCCCAGUCUCAGCUACCCCAAUCCCAUAUCCCCAGAAAAAAAUUGGCAUAUCUCUGCUCCGAUUUUUCCACUUCAGGCACCUCUAAUAAUCGCCCUCCGUCGGAUAACUACCCAAAGUAAAUCAGCUCUUGCGGAAAUUCAAUCAUUACGGUAUCCGGGGUUCUUAUUAUUUAAUUUAUUUCGAAACAUCCUAGAUUGGCUUACAAUACUCAGUUCCAGGCAUUGCAAUUAGUUUGUUUUUCUGCUUCUGCUUGCGACUAUCUAGUUUACACUAGAACAUGAGCGACGGAGUCAUAAGCGAGAUCAGAAGAAAAUGGAAACGUUAUGAUUCUUCCGACUCCGACUCCGAUUCCGUUGAGCUUAUGACUCCACUUACAACUUCGACUUUCGAUUUUCACUAGGUUGUAAGCGCUCUUAUGACUUUAAAAGCAGGGCUGUCACUAACGGCCGGGGACCGGGGACUUUCCCCGGCUACUACGAGCUAGAGCCCCGACUACUUUGACAGAAAACUAAAUGUAUGUAUAAAAAUAUAAAACUGUGUAUGUAUGUAUGCGUGUAUGUAUGUAUGUAUUGCAUUGGAGAGUGAAAGACUGUGGAUCCCGGGCCAGUAUACUAACGAUACUCUUAUGUGCCACGAUAUUUCUUUUUUCAAAUUUUAAACCUCGCUAUUUGAACACAUCACAACAAGCUUGCAUUUACGAAAACAAUGUAACAUUUCCAUGCGGUUUUGGCGGCAUCAACAAAUGUGGGAAAUUACAAUUUUUAAAUAAAUAAACAUUUGAAGAGUUUACAAUCAUAAAUUACUAUCCUGUCAUUCUUGACUCAAUGAUGCACAUGUAUGUCAUGAAAGCCUACUUGAAAUGUAUCGAACUUACAAGCAUUUGCACCAACAAUAGAGAAUUUUGACUUAAAACCGUUUGUUUUUAGACGUAGUAUUAGCCACUAUUUUGGGCUUUAAGUUGCAGGAAAAAAGUCUCUUUCAGGCGUUUUCGGCUUGUAAUUUUUUUUCCACUGGUACUUAGCUUACUGCUAUUGUCAUACUAGUUGCAGGUGGACACUGUUUCCUUCAUGGUUUGCGUUUUGUAUGCUACACACAAUGUGGCUAAAACCGGCUUAAAACUGGCAUCAAAGUCCUCAAGAAUGCAUAAAAAUGGAAUAUGAGCUUGUCUAGAUUUUCACAUUUUUCCAGGGGGAUGCCCCCGGAACCUGUACACGAAAUAAAGUUAGCUUUAGCACCCCUCCAUAACUAAAUUCGUACCUAUGGGCUUGAUUUUUUUAGAAAUAAAAUUAAGAAAACCAGCCUUUAUGAGUCAAAUGAAUCAAUGAGUCACAGAAUUAGUAUUUUAAGUAUAUACAUCGAGUUACCAAAUGUUACCAUUAUUGAGAGCUAACCGUAAACAAGCUAACCUGAGCAUUAUUCAAGCUAUAAACCUGAGUACUCAGGCUUACCGGAGUGCUAUUCAGGCCAACCAAGCGCAAUUGAGGCAAACCGAACUGCUAUUCAGGCUAGGAGUGAGAUUUGACCAGUGAUCUCAUGGAUUCGUGACCAAUGGCUCAUAGAUUCAUGCUACUAAUAAACACCGGCGAUUUGGGGCGCGAGACGGCGCAAAACCUGACAUAGUUUCUGUUUGCUUGCUUGUUUGUUUUGCCUACCACGUGCCCAAACUCUCACGAAACGACGGCUACUACCCAGGUAGAGAUUUUGGACCCUUUUGCGUCUGAAAAGUUUUAGCUUUAUGCUAGAAUAGACCAAGAAGACCAAACAAUUGUUGUUGCAGACCGUCCAACCUUUCCAAGUCCGCAAGGAAGCUUCUACAGAGAAACACAUGGGGAAAAUGACUUAAAUGUACGAACAAAUCUGCGGAAAAGUUAAAACGAGACUGUACGCUUUCAUUUCAAAACUAUCUUUAAGGUGUCUCGAUACAAUUUUUCCCGGACCAUACCUAACAUUGUCAAUCAGCUUUUUAACAUCUUCCUUUCAUCGGAGGGAAGUGAAAUUCACACCACUUUUGGAACUGGAUUGAAGUUUGAUAUAAUAUAUUUUUAGGGCAAUCUAUAUUUCCAUGGAAACGAUAAACAAAAAAACUCACUUGAAUUUUGUGCGAACCAGAUUUGAUAUAAACACGAAGAUCAGAGAGCUUAGAACUGGGCCUGAAAGUUGAACUUCCCAAAACGAUUUUUCUUCCCAUGGAAAGUCCUGUGCAGCAUAGGUCAACUUUGGAAAAAUAGUGACACAAGUGAUGUAAAAGUCUGAGCUUUGGCUAAGUGAACUGGGAAAUUUUCUUAGUGACAUCGACAUCAGUUGUUAAUCUGAUCGGCAUGGCUGCAUAUAUUAUGGAGACUCUGCCUGUAUACAAUACUUCCGCAUUUUUGCGUAAUUCGAUCGAUGCCACCUUCGAUAUUUCGACCUCCUGAUUUCUGUAACCAAUUUUCGUUUCCUUUGGAGGUUUGAGAAAUCGAGAUUGCACUGUAUUAAGAAUACCGCAGAAGAUAUGAUGUAAACGGGAGAGUGACAGUUAAACAUUGCAAUAGAAUGAAAGUAAAGUAUGUAACUUCCUUCAUUCUGGUUGAAUCUGAAUUAUUUCUGACAAACAAAUGAGCUAUACAGGGGGAAAUUACUAAGUUGAACUGAUCAGAGUGACUUACGCAGGUAAUGGUCAGCGGAAAACUAAAGACUUUAUGUAUGGUGUAUCUAGGACAAAAUGUGUGGUAUACAUGAAGUAUAUAAUUGAAGGCCAAUUAUUUUUGCUCGAAUCAGGGAGUACCAGUGCUUGAGAAAUGGAGAACUGGGCACUGACAAGCGGUUUUAAAGAGUGAUAGAGGAUAUUACCUGAGAACACAACAUUUUUGUUUCGAUGAUAUCAUAGUUACUAGUAUGUAAGCUUUUGUAAUCCUGUACCAAGGUCAUGCAAAUAAACCUUUUAGUUACGCUUACGUGACUCUUUUAAUGUCAUGUAUUGCAUUAAAUAACAAUUUAGCUAAUAAAGAUUCCAGAGUAGAAGCGCACAGGAUUUGCCUUAUCUUGCCCUCUCGCGAAGUUACCCAUAAAAUAAAGGUUCUUAUAUCUUUCAUCACUGACGUCAUAAAGUGAUGAAUUAAACCCUCUGAAGCUCACCAUUUAAAUGAACGAGAAACAUGCACUGCGCAUGGAGGAUUUUCCUUAUCUUGCCGUCUUACGGAGUUACAGUACAACAAAGCUUGUUCGUUCUUGCAUAAUAAUGCGGGUGACAUAAAAAAAUUAAAUUAAGUGGAAGUUAAACCCUCUGAAGUUCAGACAUCGUGACAAACAGAAAGCCAUAAAGACCAUUGAAUUGAACGAAAAAUACUGUACAACAGAACUCUACUGACAAAUAGAACGCCAUAAAAAUAUCCUUUGAUCAAGCGAGUUUUCCGCGCUCCGUAUUUGCCUUUUGUCAUUUACCGGUCGCUUUAGGCUUAGAUCAUGACUAAUAUCAUUGGAAAUUGCGAGUUUCGAGUUUGAGAGGCCUUGUAUUCACCGUGAAAUUCGUUGUUUUUCCCUCAUGGUCGUUCGUUUCACCUAAGUGAAAGUUAAACCCUGUGAAUCUCAGGCAUCGUGACAAAAAGAAAGCCAAAAACACCCUUGAAAGGAGCUACCGUGACGAGUAGAACUCCUUAAACAUAACCUUGGGUCAGGCGACUUUUUUCGCCCGCCGUAUUUGCUUUUUGUCCUUUACCGGUCGCUCUAGGCCUAGAUACAAAUAUUCCGAUAUUUCUUGAGAUAUUUAGAAGCGUCCUAGAUUUUCAGAUUAUACUAAUCUCAGAAGACAAUCUGUCUCUCUGUAAAAAGCUCUCUGUGGCCGUCGCCAUGAUGAUACCUUGAGCAUAUUUGCUAACAGCUAUCAUCACACAUUUCAGUGGAUUUUUCCCGUCGCGCUUCUGUUGUGGCAUCCUUGUCAGUGCCCACACGAGUACACAUACCUGCUCAAAGUAGCCGUUUUACAAUUUGUGCAACCUUUUUUGCUUCCAGAAGCAUUAAGAGAUAUUAAGACAGUUUACCCUACAGUUUACGGUUUCGUAUAGCAAGGACAAGAACUAUUUAUAAUAUUGAGCCCCCUGUUACUAGGGAGAUAUGCUUCACUCUCAAAAAUGGGAACACCCUCAUAAUACAAGUGCAAUUCACAAUAUUAACAAUAGUUUAUUAUAGGCAGUAGGGAGGAUAAGCUGUGUUUGUUUAUUUGUUCGCUUGCGUCUUUUUUUCUUAGUUUUGUUACUAUUGUUAAUUUAGCUAUUAUUGUAACCUUGCUUUGCAUUGUUUCUGUUGGAUUUUUUGUAUAUUAACCAGUAAACACUGGUUUGGGUCUCGGUUAUAAACCCAUGAGAAAAGAACCUGGCCAUUCCAUUGGCCAAUAUCCAGCCAUCUUGACCUCACCUUUAAGGUCCAUAACCCACAUACGUGUAUCAAAACAAUCCUCCUCCAUCAAAAUAAAAAUAGAAUAGUUUUAUUGGCCUCUAACUUGUAUCGAUUUAAGUUAUUGUAUUUUUUAGAAACACAUCAUUCGCUGUUUAGCAGUCAGCCGGCAGCAACUAGAAACUUGAGGUACACCGUCAACACUAAAGAGAAAAACCAAAACGUACGACAUCAUGUUCGUGAGAUCGGCGUUGUUAUUUCUCCUCCUUAACCUGACUGGAGUGAUGUUGCACAAGUUGAAGAAUGACGAGAUCGACGAGAUCGAGAUUCCUGAAAACCCCAAUCCAAACCAAAUUGGGAGAUCUGCUGCGGAUAUUAUAGUGUGUGUGCUAAGAGGCUGUGGCGUUUCAGCGUCAGAUCAAUGCUGGGUACCCUGCUUAUCUGUUGGAAGUGCUAUUGUGGAUAUUUUUGUUUGUGUGCUAAGAGGCUGUGGCAUCUCAGCCACAGAUAGAUGCUGGGUACCUUGUUUGCCCUCAUCAGGAUAGUAAUUGUAAUUGUCAAAUAUCCAAACGCUGGCAAAUGGAUCUUAUUACCAAUGGUCAUUUCACUUAAGACUGUAAGACGUAUGGAAAUCCUGCACCGUUUUGCUGAUUUGUUUUUUCGUUGUUGUUGUUUUUUGUUUUUUCAUUAUUUUUAAACGAAGUUGCUGCUUAUUUAUGUUCAAGACCUUCUGUAAUUAGGAGCCUAAUCAUAAAGUUAAGGACCCUCUAGGGUGUUCAAGAAAUAAACAGAGC